rnacentral:rRNA from 1 species
CGUGUAGGCGGUUUGGCAAGUCGAGUGUGAAAUCCCACGGCUCAACCGUGGAACUGCGCUCGAAACUGCCUUACUUGAGUGCGGGAGAGGUGUGCGGAAUUCCUGGUGUAGCGGCGGAAUGCGUAGAUAUCAGGAAGAACACCGGUGGCGAAGGCGGCACACUGGCCCAGCACUGACGCUGAGGCGCGAAAGCGUGGGGAGCGAACG